rnacentral:pre_miRNA from 1 species
CAGGUUCUGUCAUGCACUCGGACCUGGACUCUGGAGCGGUCAGUGCAUGACAGAACUUGGG